rnacentral:rRNA from 1 species
UAAAAAGCGUAACAAGGUCUCCGUAGGUGAACCUGCGGAGGGAUCAUUACAGAGUUUUUACUCCUAAAACCAUGUGAACUUACCACUGUUGCCUCGGUGGAAGGUACCCGAAAGGGUGCUGGAAGCCGGCGGACAUCUAAACUCUUGUUAAUUUUUGUUAUUCUGAAUCAAACUAAGAAAUAAGUUAAAACUUUCAACAACGGAUCUCUUGGUUCUGGCAUCGAUGAAGAACGCAGCGAAAUGCGAUAAGUAAUGUGAAUUGCAGAAUUCAGUGAAUCAUCGAAUCUUUGAACGCACAUUGCGCCCAUUAGUAUUCUAGUGGGCAUGCCUGUUCGAGCGUCAUUUCAACCCUUAAGCCUAGCUUAGUGUUGGGAGACUGCCUAAUACGCAGCUCCUCAAAACCAGUGGCAGAGUUUUUACGUACUCUGAGCGCAGUAAUUCUAUUCUCGCUUUUGAACACGUCUAGACGAUAGCCAAAAACCGCUUGCCUCGGCAGCACUUUUUAAUGGUUGACCUCGGAUCAGGUAGGAAUACCCGCUGAACUUAAGCA